rnacentral:rRNA from 1 species
AUAACAAUCAGAAAUGACUGCUAAUACCGCAUAAGACCACAGCACCGCAUGGUGCAGGGGUAAAAACUCCGGUGGUACAGGAUGGACCCGCGUCUGAUUAGCUGGUUGGUGAGGUAACGGCUCACCAAGGCGACGAUCAGUAGCCGGCUUGAGAGAGUGAACGGCCACAUUGGGACUGAGACACGGCCCAAACUCCUACGGGAGGCAGCAGUGGGGAAUAUUGCACAAUGGGGGGAACCCUGAUGCAGCGACGCCGCGUGAGUGAAGAAGUAUUUCGGUAUGUAAAGCUCUAUCAGCAGGGAAGAAAAUGACGGUACCUGACUAAGAAGCCCCGGCUAACUACGUGCCAGCAGCCGCGGUAAUACGUAGGGGGCAAGCGUUAUCCGGAAUUACUGGGUGUAAAGGGUGCGUAGGUGGUAUGGCAAGUCAGAAGUGAAAACCCAGGGCUUAACUCUGGGACUGCUUUUGAAACUGUCAGACUGGAGUGCAGGAGAGGUAAGCGGAAUUCCUAGUGUAGCGGUGAAAUGCGUAGAUAUUAGGAGGAACACCAGUGGCGAAGGCGGCUUACUGGACUGAAACUGACACUGAGGCACGAAAGCGUGGGGAGCAAACAGGAUUAGAUACCCUGGUAGUCCACGCCGU